AAUGAAUUCAUUUGGAUACAGCCAAUCAGAGCUCACCUUGACUUGUUGUCAAGUUAACAAACAUACUCUACCAAGUAAACUCAAGACAAAGAAUGGUGUUGUAAGUCGAUCGAUCGCCAAGUUAUGCCUGAUUUUAGAAAGAGACAAUUUCAGUAAAAGAGU